AGUGAACGCUGGCGGCGUGCCUAAUACAUGCAAGUCGAACGGAGUGGCGCACGGGUGAGUAAUGUAUAGCUAAUCUGCCCUACACUAGAGGACAACAGUAGGAAACGACAGCUAAUAAUCUAUAGUGUAGGAUGAGGCUAUAGUUUAUCAGCUGUUUGGUGAGGUAAUGGCUCACAAAGGAUAUGACGCAUAACUGGUCUGAGAGGAUGAUCAGUCACACUGGAACUGCGACACGGUCCAGACUCCUACGUGAGUCAGCCGUAGGGAAUAUUGCUCAAUGGGGGAAACCCUGAUGCAGCAACGCCGCGUGGAGGAUGACACUUUUCGGAGCGUAAACUCCUUUUGUUAGGGAAGCGGUACCUAACGAAUAAGCACCGGCUAACUCCGUGCCAGCAGCCGCGGUAAUAC
rnacentral:rRNA from 1 species